AGGCCCGGAGAGAGAAGCAGGGUCUGAUCCGCAGCCUCCAUGGCAACUGCUGAUCAGCCCUUGCCUCCCUCUCUCUCCG
rfam:Myotis brandtii contig171044, whole genome shotgun sequence.